rnacentral:rRNA from 1 species
ACAUGCGACCACAUCCACAAGAAAAUAUAGGAUCCCGUCCGCUCUCCCUCAAUCAAGCUUGUGAGAGGGCAGUCAGUAGUUGGGUCGGUGACGACCAGCGAAUCCUGCCUGUUGCAUGUA